CAGUCGCCGCGGGAAUACGUAGGUGGCAAGCGUUGUCCGGAAUUAUUGGGCGUAAAGGGCUCGCAGGCGGUUUCUUAAGUCUGAUGUGAAAGCCCCCGGCUCAACCGGGGAGGGUCAUUGGAAACUGGGAAACUUGAGUGCAGAAGAGGAGAGUGGAUUUCCACGUGUAGCGGUGAAAUGCGUAGAGAUGUGGAGGAACACCAGUGGCGGAGGCGACUCUCUGGUCUGUAACUGACGCUGAGGAGCGAAAGCGUGGGGAGCGAACAGGAUUAGAUACCCCAGUAGUCCCUGUCUCUUAUAC
rnacentral:rRNA from 1 species